rnacentral:tRNA from 1 species
GGGCCUGUGGUGUAAGUCAGGUUAACAUCCUACCUUUAGCAAGUGGGGCUAGGGGUUCAAAUCCCCUCGGGUCCA